UACGUAGGUGGCAAGCGUUGUCCGGAUUUACUGGGCGUAAAGAGCGCGCAGGCGGUCGAUCAAGUCGAGUGUGAAAGCCCCCGGCUCAACUGGGGAGGGUCAUUCGAUACUGAUCGACUCGAAGGCAGGAGAGGGUAGUGGAAUUCCCGGUGUAGUGGUGAAAUGCGUAGAGAUCCGGAGGACACCAGUGGCGAAGGCGACACGCUGGGCCGUACCUGACACUGAUGCGCGACAGCAUGGGGAGCAAACGG
rnacentral:rRNA from 1 species